rnacentral:rRNA from 1 species
UACAUGGGGUGCAAACGUUGCUCGGAAUUAUUGGGCGUAAAGCGCACGUAGGCGGUUUGUUAAGUCGGAUGUGAAAUCCCUCGGCUCAACUGAGGAAGUGCACCCGAAACUGGCAAGCUUGAGUACGAAAGAGGGUCGCGGAAUUCCCGGUGUAGAGGUGAAAUUCGUAGAUAUCGGGAGGAACACCGGUGGCGAAGGCGGCGACCUGGGUCGAUACUGACGCUGAGGUGCGAAAGCGUGGGGAGCAAACAGG